UUAACACCAUCACAGGCAU
rnacentral:snRNA from 1 species